UACGUAGGGACCGAGCGUUGUCCGGAUUCAUUGGGCGUAAAGAGCUCGUAGGCGGCCACUCAAGUCGAAUGUGAAACCUCGAGGCUUAACCUCGAGCCUGCAUUCGAUACUGGGCGGCUAGAGUCUGGUAGGGGGAUCUGGAAUUCCUGGUGUAGCGGUGGAAUGCGCAGAUAUCAGGAGGAACACCGGUGGCGAAGGCGGGAUCCUGGGCCUUACUGACGCUGAGGAGCGAAAGCGUGGGGAGCGAACAGG
rnacentral:rRNA from 1 species